rnacentral:rRNA from 1 species
CAAUGGGCGAAAGCCUGACGGAGCAACGCCGCGUGAGGGAAGAAGGCCUUCGGGUUGUAAACCUCUGUUUUCAGGGAAGAAGAAAGUGACGGUACCUGAAGAGUAAGCCCCGGCUAACUACGUGCCAGCAGCCGCGGUAAAACGUAGGGGGCAAGCGUUGUCCGGAAUUACUGGGCGUAAAGGGCGCGUAGGUGGUUCAUUAAGUUAUAGGUGAAAGUUCGGGGCUCAACCCCGUGAUUGCCUGUGAUACUGGUGGGCUUGAGUGCAGGAGAGGGUAGCAGAAUUCCCAGUGUAGCGGUGAAAUGCGUAGAUAUUGGGAGGAAUACCAGUGGCGAAGGCGGCUAUCUGGACUGUAACUGACACUGAGGCGCGAAAGCGUGGGGAGCAAACAGGAUUAGAUACCCUGGUAGUCCACGCCGUAAACGAUGAGUGCUAGGUGUUGCGGGUAUCGACCUCUGCAGUGCCGUAGUUAACACAAUAAGCACUCCGCCUGGGGAGUACGG